UUCGGAUUGCAGGCUGCAACUCGCCUGUAUGAAGUCGGAAUUGCUAGUAAUCGCGGAUCAGCAUGCCGCGGUGAAUACGUUCCCGGGCCUUGUACACACCGCCCGUCACACCAUGAGAGUCGGGAACACCCGAAGUCCGUAGUCUAACCGCAAGGAGGGCGCGGCCGAAGGUGGGCUUGAUAAUUGGGGUGAAGUCGUAACAAGGUAGC
rnacentral:rRNA from 1 species